UCAAAGUGCUUAGUAUGUGUCCAAAAAGAGCUUGGCUUGAGUUAUAUUCCUGAACUAUCAACAGUAAUAUUAUCCUUGCUUGUUACUCUCAUUCAAACAGAGCUUGAACAUGAACAACUAUCUAUAUUGAAACUGCUUCUCUUCCUCUUGAAGUGGAAAAGUGAAAAUGAUGCAGUUAAUUUAAACGAAGAGCUUUUAUUCGUUUUUCCUGUCAUCAACCUUGUCUCAACUCCUUCUAAAUCUGUUAAACAAGCAGCAAUCGAUUUGCUUUUCAUUUUGGAAAAGCUUUUAAUAAAUUUGUUAGUUUUCACCGAAGAAGGAACUGAUCAUGCAAGGGAUAUUUCCAUCUAUUACCAGACCCGAAGACAUUAUUUUUAGGCUAUUGCGACAAUUGUGGUCUCAGGUUUGUUUCCAUUACUUACAGCUGAAAAUUAUAUUUUCACUUCCUCACUUCCUGAUUAACAUUCUUGUGAGGGCUCAUGAUUGUAAGAAUAUACAGUUACAAAAACAAAAUAUAAGAAAUAAUUCUGAAUUAUGUGGCUGCUUAAUUUGGUGGUGGUUGGAUUGAAUAGUUAGUGCUAACAUGUGGUCUGUUUGUAAUAACUCAUCAGUUCUUGAUAGAAUUCAUGUUUAUCAAUUAUAUAUAUGGUAAUAGCAGCUAUAAACAAAUUGUUCCAUUACAAUGUCUUCUCCCAGAUUGUGUAGCUUGAUGACUAUAUAUCGGUUUGGCGGUCUUACAAGGAAAAUCUACUAAGUGGAAAAUGACUAUUUAUUUCUGUUUGGUGGUCUUAGAAGGAAUCUACUAAGUGGAAAUGCAGCUUUUAUUUUCUAGAAAUCAUUGGCAUCCUUUGAUGUUUGGAAAACCAUAGUUGAUUUUAUCAUGUUUAAAAAUAUUGGUUUAUUAGUUGAGACGUAUGACUUUGUUUAAGAUUUGUGAACUGUCAGCAUUGUGAUGCCCUUGCCCCAAGUAUUUGGAGUAGGCAGCACACACGUGUCGACUGAUGCUGUGGAAAAGCAUGAAACUUCAGAAGCCUUGGUUAGUUUAAUUUUUUUUAUAGUUUUAAUUUGUUAGGCAAGAAGCCAUGCUCAAAAUACCUUUUAUCAUUUAUGAUACGGUACUGGAUUACUUAACAGGAAAAAAAAAAAAAAA